CUCUAAUUAACCACCAAAGGAGCUGUGGUCUGCGGUUAACCACAGCCUAUUUGAUGGUCGCAGGGCAUCCACGUUCAUGUACAUUUCCCCAAACUGAAAACUACCAAAAGACUCAUGAACAAGGACCACCUACAUCCUGGCGUGUGGCCUCAAUUAGAAUGUUGAUUUUGUGGUUAACAGCAGGUUAAGUACCCCCUUCCAGGCGGUCUCCGUUCG